rnacentral:rRNA from 1 species
UGCCAGUAGUCAUAUGCUUGUCUUAAAGAUUAAGCCAUGCAUGUCUAAGUAUAAGUAAUUUUUACAGCGAGACUGCGAACGGCUCAUUAAAAUCAGUUAUAGUUUCUUUGAUGACCUACUUUAAUUGGAUAACUGUGGAAAAUCUAGAGCUAAUACAUGCAAACCAACUUGAACAAGUUGGAUUUAUCAGAGUUGAAACCAAACUGGGUGUAAAAGCUCAGUUUCAGAUGAAUCAUGAUAACUUACCUAAUUGCACAGCCUUUUGAGCUGGCAAUAUUUCAUUCAAAUUUCUGCCCUAUCAACUGUCGACUGUAGUACAGUUGGCUACAAGGGUGAUAACGGGUACGGGGAAUUAGGGUUCGACUCCGGAGAUGGAGCCUGAGAAACGGCUACAACUUCCAAGGAAGGCAGCAGGCGCGCAAAUUACCCAAUCCCAAUUCGGGGAGGUAGUGACAAUAAAUAACAAUACUGGUCCUGAAAAGGGGCCAGUAAUUGGAAUGAGUGUAAUGUAGACACCUUAACGAGGAACAAUUAGAGGAAAAGUCUGGUGCCAGCACCCGCGGUAAUUCCAGCUCUAAGAGCGUAUAUUAAAGUUGUUGCAGUUAAAAAGCUCGUAGUUGGAUUGCAGUAAACUUAAAAGCACCUGGUCUGCUAGAAAUUAAGCAAGUACUGGUGUUUUUUUACUUCCUUCUGGUAACUUCUAUUUCCUCUUUACUGAGGGAGUGGUUUAAAGGACCAGAUCAUUUACCUUGAAAAAAUUAGAGUGUUUAAAGCAGGCUGUCACGCUUGAAUAGAUUAGCAUGGGAUAAUAAAAUAGGGUAUCCUACUUAUAUUUAGUUGGUUUCUAAGUUGGAUACAAUGAUUAAUAGAGACAGUUGGGGAUAUUUAUAUUAGGCUGUCAGAGGUGAAAUUCUUGGAUUAGCCAAAGAUAAACUACUGCGAAAGCAUUUAUCAAGGAUGCACUCAUUGAUCAAGAACGAAAGUUAGGGGAUCGAAGACGAUCAGAUACCGUCGUAGUCUUAACCAUAAACUAUGCGGACCAGGGAUUGGAGG